UACGGGGGGGGCAAGCGUUGUUCGGAAUCAUUGGGCGUAAAGGGCGCGUAGGUGGUUCUGUAUGUCUACCGUGAAAGCGUACGGCUCAACCGUAUUUAGUCGGUAGAAACUGCAGGACUUGAGGCUGGGAGGGGCUGGUGGAAUUCCCUGUGUAGCGGUGAAAUGCGUAGAGAUGGGGGAGAACACUCGUGGCGAAGGCGGCCAGCUAGACCAGUUCUGACACUGAGGCGCGACAGCGUGGGGAGCAAACAGG
rnacentral:rRNA from 1 species